rnacentral:lncRNA from 1 species
GCGGAUAUUGUUGAACAUCAGAUUUGCUGGUAGACACUUCUCCUCUGUGCUUAUUUGUUGGUGGAUACUGAAGUGAAUAAAAUAUUUAUUUUUUCUUUGGAUGGGAGGGAAAGAGAGCGAAAAGUCCAUACUUUUUCUUUAUGAAACAGGGGGGGUUUGCACUUUUUUUUUAUGAAACAGGAGGGGUUUGCACCCUUACUGGUUAUAUAUUAAUAAAAGGAGAAAUUUUACAGUGCUGGAAAAAAAUGAGAACUCUCCAUCUGGCGAAAUUGAACAGUGGAAACAAAGGAAGUACAAUGAAGCACCUAAAGAGAAGUAGCAUUUUGGUGGGACCAAAUACCAAAAUAGUGAGAAAUAACUAUGAUGCCCUUUUAAUAUGUGUAAAUCUAUUUAAUUCUUUUUGUAAGAAAGGAUAAGAAAGGAAAGUACCUGCAAGUACCAUUGGUACUUUAAAAGCAUUGUAGCGAAUCUAGCAAAUUUACAAUUGAGGGGAAAUAUUUCUUCUUCGCCCGAUGGAUAAUCAUUGCGAAAUCUUGCUUGAAAC